ensembl:lncRNA
CUUGGGGUGUUGGGGUGCCCCUACAGCGUUCCAGGUGUCCCCUUCCAUUAAGUGUUGGGGACAGUCCUUGGAGUUGUUGGGGUGACGCUACAGGGUUCCAGUUGUCACCUUCUGUUAGGUGUUUGGGGCGGUCUUUGGGGGUGUUGGGGUGACCCUACAGCAUUCCAGGUGUCCCCUUCCAUUAAGUGUUGGGGACAGUCCAUGGGGUGACCCUAUAGCAUUCCAGGUGUCCCCUUCCAUUAGAUGUUGGUGGACAGUCCUUGGGGGUGUUGGGGUGACCCUACAGCAUUCCAGGUGUCACCUUCCAUUAAGUGUUGGGGACAGUCCUUGGGGUGACCCUAUAGCAUUCCAGGUGUCCCCUUCCAUUAGGUGUUGGGGACAGUCCUUGGGGUGACCCUAUAGCAUUCCAGGUGUCCCCUUCCAUUAGGUGUUGGGGACAGUCCUUGGGGUGUUGGGGUGACCCUCCAACGUUCCAGUUGUCACCUUCUGUUAGGUGUUGGGGGAUAUGGGGACGGUUCUUGGGGUGUUGGGGUGACCCUACAACGUUCCAGUUGUCCCCUUCCAUUAAGUGUUGGGGACAGUCCAUGGGGUGUUGGGGUGCCCCUACAACGUUCCAGGUGUCCCCUUCCAUUAAGAGUUGGGGACAGUCCUUGGGGUUGUUGGGGUGACGCUACAGGGUUCCAGUUGUCACCUUCUGUUAGGUGUUUGGGGCGGUCUUUGGGGGUGUUGGGGUGACCCUACAGCAUUCCAGUUGUCCCCUUCCAGUAAGUGUUGGGGACAGUCUAUGGGGUGACCCUAUAGCAUUCCAGGUGUCCCCUUCCAUUAGGUGUUGGGGGACAGUCCUUGAGAUUUUGGGGUGACACUACAGCAUUCCAGGUGUCCCCUUCCAUUAAGUGUUGGGGACAGUCCAUGGGGUGACCCUAUAGCAUUCCAGGUGUCCCCUUCCAUUCGCUGUUGGGGGACAGUCCUUGGGGGUGUUGGGGUGACACUACAGCAUUCCAGGUGUUCCCUUCCAUUAAGAGUUGGGGACAGUCCAUGGGGUGACCCUAUAGCAUUCCAGGUGUACCCUUCCAUUAGGUGUUGGGGGACAGUCCUUGGGGUUGUUGGGGUGACCCUACAGCAUUCCAGGUGUCCCCUUCCAUUAAGUGUUGGGGACAGUCCAUGGGGUGACCCCAUAGCAUUCCUGGUGUUCCCUUCCAUUAGGUAUUGGGGACAGUCCUUGAGAUUUUGGGGUGACACUACAGCAUUCCAGGUGUCCCCUUCCAUUAAGUGUUGGGGACAGUCCAUGGGGUGACCCUAUAGCAUUUCAGGUGUCCCCUUCCAUUAAGUGUUGGGGACAGUCCAUGGGGUGACCCUAUAGCAUUCCAGGUGUCCCCUUCCAUUAGGUGUUGGGGGACAGUCCUUGAGAUUUUGGGGUGACCCUACAGCAUUCCAGGUGUCCCCUUCCAUUAGGUGUUGGGGACAGUCCUUGGGGUUGUUGGGGUGACACUACAGCAUUCCAG